GACAGAGGUGCCGAGCGUUAGGCGGAAUCACUGGGCUUAAAGCGUGUGUAGGCGGACUUCUAAGUACCUUGUGAAAGCCCGGGGCUCAACUCCGGAAUUGCCUUUAAGACUGCAUCGCUAGAAUUGUGGAGAGGUAAGUGGAAUUCCGAGUGUAGAGGUGAAAUUCGUAGAUAUUCGGAAGAACACCAGUGGCGAAGGCGACUUACUGGACACAUAUUGACGCUGAGGUGCGAAAGCGUGGGGAGCAAACAGG
rnacentral:rRNA from 1 species